rnacentral:rRNA from 1 species
GUGUCAGCCGCCGCGGUAAUACGUAGGUGGCAAGCGUUGUCCGGAAUUAUUGGGCGUAAAGCGCGCGCAGGCGGUUUCUUAAGUCUGAUGUGAAAGCCCGCGGCUCAACCGCAGACGGUCAUUGGAAACUGGGGAGCUUGAGGGCAGAAGAGGAGAGUGGAAUUCCACGUGUAGCGGUGAAAUGCGUAGAGAUGUGGAGGAACACCGGUGGCGAAGGCGGCUUUCUGGUCUGCAGCUGACGCUGAGGCGCGAAAGCGUGGGGAGCAAACAGGAUUAGAUUCCCUGGUAGUCCACGCCGUAAACGAUGAGUGCUAAGUGUUAGGGGGGUCCAGCCCCUUAGUGCUGAAGUCAACGCAUUAAGCACUCCGCCUGGGGAGUACGACCGCAAGGUUGAAACUUAAAGGAAUUGGCGG